GUGGAAUCUGAAAAUUAAUAGCUAUAACAAAAGUAAAAUCUACGAAAAAUGUGUUUCACUUACCUGAAAUUCGAUUUAAAAUAAAGGCACACUUUCACUUGUCCGAUUUUAAAACUUUAAGGAGUCUGCCCACUACACCGUAUCAUACCAUGACCGUGCUAUGAACGUAUCAAGCACGGAAGGCAAUACGAUACGGCUUGUUAUGCCCACUGAAACGAAUCGACGGCGUUUAAUGCCCGUAUGAUGCCGGUUUGGUGUCCGAAUGUUCGAUGAGGAAGAAGAAGAGAAUCAAAAACCCACUCGACGCUACUGGAUUCACGAGACUAUAAAAAAACGGAAAACUGAAGAAUAUCGGACGUUGUACAGGCACUUAGUUGAAGAUGAAGAAAAGUUUUUUCGGUAUUUCCGAAUGUCUACAUAUCAAUUGCUGCAAAAAAUUGCUUCAGAGAAUCUCUGUCACCUAAAAAAAAGCUUGCCGUGUGUUUACGACCGAUUAUUCCAAUCGUUGCCAGCCGUAUUCCAAGGAGACGUAGAUAUAGGUGUAGCACUUGUUCGAACGCUUGAAGAGCUCGAUGCUGGAGAUGGGGUGUCCGUAUAUUGAGGUGUAGUUGUAAUAAACCCAGGUGGCGCGAGCUGCUGUAACUCCAUUUCAGAAACGAAACUGAAUGUCUUAUUUUUUGCUACUGCUUGUAGGUAAGGCGAAAAUUUUUUUACUGUUGCUGAUAUACUCAAAAAGAAACGAUCGAGUUCGUCGUGGUCACACUGUCGCGAAACAUUCAUUUGCUCGUCUAAUAAUCUAGACAUCAAAACAGCGGAUGCUGACUGUUUCGGUUGAACUUUCGCCUUCUUUAUUGCCUUUUUUACUUCACUCUGUUAUAUAUUAUGUAUCGUGAGGGUUCUGGACUUCAGUAACCUCUUAUUGAGACUCUUCAUCGUCACUCGACAGGUCAACGCUAUCUAAAGUUUUUUUUGCGACCAAAAAUGAAGCCACAAAAGACAUCUCGUCCUCAUAUUCCCAUUUCUCAAUUUUCUUGGCUGCCCGUCCGCUACUUUUGCCUUUUUUCUUAUUUAUUGCUAUUCUAUAUGCAUCUCUUAGCCCUUGCCAUCUUUGUUCACAAGCUGCAGCUGUAAAAAAACGUAAUAUACAUUUUAAAAAACAUAAUUGUGAUACUGACGCACUGCUCCUAAAGUUGAACUAUACCCUAACCCAACACAAAAAAAAUAUUUGCAAUCGGACUUAUAGUUUCGGAAAAUCGAUGGACAAACUGGGGAUAAUGCAGUUUCUACCGCUUUUGAAGUACGCGAUCAAUUUGCGGAUUUCUUUCAAACAACUGAAGGCCAAUUGGACUGGAUAACCAUGUAAUCGAAUUGCUUAUUCAAAUAAAUAAUAAUUUAAUAAA